rnacentral:rRNA from 1 species
UACGUAGGGUGCAAGCGUUAAUCGGAAUUACUGGGCGUAAAGCGUGCGCAGGCGGUGAUGUAAGACAGAUGUGAAAUCCCCGGGCUCAACCUGGGAACUGCAUUUGUGACUGCAUCGCUAGAGUACGGCAGAGGGGGAUGGAAUUCCGCGUGUAGCAGUGAAAUGCGUAGAUAUGCGGAGGAACACCAACGGCGAAGGCAGCGCCCUGGACGAGACCUGACGCUCAGGCACGAAAGCUGGGGGAGCAAACAGG